rnacentral:rRNA from 1 species
ACGAACGCUGGCGGCGUGCUUCACACAUGCAAGUCGAACGGAAAGGCCCUGCUUUUGUGGGGUGCUCGAGUGGCGAACGGGUGAGUAACACGUGAGUAACCUGCCCUUGACUUUGGGAUAACUUCAGGAAACUGGGGCUAAUACCGGAUAGGAGCUCCUGCUGCAUGGUGGGGGUUGGAAAGUUUCGGCGGUUGGGGAUGGACUCGCGGCUUAUCAGCUUGUUGGUGGGGUAGUGGCUUACCAAGGCUUUGACGGGUAGCCGGCCUGAGAGGGUGACUGGCCACAUUGGGACUGAGAUACGGCCCAGACUCCUACGGGAGGCAGCAGUGGGGAAUAUUGCACAAUGGGCGGAAGCCUGAUGCAGCAACGCCGCGUGCGGGAUGACGGCCUUCGGGUUGUAAACCGCUUUCGCCUGUGACGAAGCGUGAGUGACGGUAAUGGGUAAAGAAGCACCGGCUAACUACGUG